GCAGGUGUUGCAUAAUGGCAGUGCCCCAGCUUCCCAAGCUGGUUGCGUGGGUUCGAUUCCCAUCACCUGCUCCA
rnacentral:tRNA from 1 species